rnacentral:sRNA from 1 species
GUUUUGCUGCAAGUUCUGUUUUGAACACCUCUCUUCCUGUCUCCAGACAGUCCCCUGAUCCCACAGCAGUGAAUGCAUGAAGAGUUAGGAAUGUGAAAGCGCGUGUGUUUGUUGACUUUUGGUCUGGGUUUCUUGGCAGCCCCGACUAUCUGAGAUCGGCCGAGAUGACUGAGGUGAUGAUGAACACCCAGCCCAUGGAGGAGAUCGGCCUCAGCCCCCGCAAGGAUGGCCUUUCCUACCAGAUCUUCCCAGACCCGUCAGAUUUUGACCGCUGCUGCAAACUGAAGGACCGUCUGCCCUCCAUAGUGGUGGAACCCACAGAAGGAGAGGUGGAGAGCGGGGAGCUCCGGUGGCCCCCUGAGGAGUUCCUGGUCCAGGAGGAUGAGCAAGAUAACUGCGAAGAGACAGCGAAAGAAAAUAAAGAGCAGUAGAGUCCCUGUGGACUCCCAUGGGUCAUACCAGCCAGCAUCUGUUCCUGAACUGUGUUUUUCCCAUCAUGACGGAAGAAGA